GCAGCUCAAUGGUAGAGCAUCUGAUUUGCAUGCAGAAGGUCCCAAGUUCUAUCCUCAGCAUCUACA